rnacentral:rRNA from 1 species
UACGGGGGGGGUAAGCGUUGUUCGGAAUUACUGGGCGUAAAGGGCUCGUAGGCGGCCAACUAAGUCGGACGUGAAAUCCCCCGGCUCAACUGGGGAGGGUCACGCGAUACUGAUCGACUCGAAGGCAGGAGAGGGUAGUGGAAUUCCCGGUGUAGUGGUGAAAUGCGUAGAUAUCGGGAGGAACACCAGUGGCGAAGGCGACUACCUGGCCUGUUCUUGACGCUGAGGCGCGAAAGCUAGGGGAGCAAACAGG